rnacentral:rRNA from 1 species
AGUGAACGCUGGCGGUAGACCUAACACAUGCAAGUCGAACGGCAGCACAGUAAGAGCUUGCUCUUACGGGUGGCGAGUGGCGGACGGGUGAGGAAUACAUCGGAAUCUACUUUUUCGUGGGGGAUAACGUAGGGAAACUUACGCUAAUACCGCAUACGACCUACAGGUGAAAGCAGGGGAUCUUCGGACCUUGCGCGAUUGAAUGAGCCGAUGUCGGAUUAGCUAGUUGGCGGGGUAAAGGCCCACCAAGGCGACGAUCCGUAGCUGGUCUGAGAGGAUGAUCAGCCACACUGGAACUGAGACACGGUCCAGACUCCUACGGGAGGCAGCAGUGGGGAAUAUUGGACAAUGGGCGCAAGCCUGAUCCAGCCAUACCGCGUGGGUGAAGAAGGCCUUCGGGUUGUAAAGCCCUUUUGUUGGGAAAGAAAAGCAGCAGGUUAAUACCCCGCUGUUCUGACGGUACCCAAAGAAUAAGCACCGGCUAACUUCGUG